CUUAAUAAUAACUCACUCACUUUCUCCUAUUUAGGAACUCUUUUUGACUCUUGUCAAAAAUGUUUUCUAUUUUACAUGGAUAAGCAGUGCUCAUUUAGUCAGCUAACUCUGUAGAUAUAUGUGCAUUUUCAUUGAUUAAUAGUUUCAUCAUAUUUUUGUUUUACCUAGAAAACUUGGAGAAAAUAGAGAAAGAUAGUGUAUGCCACUUUUUUAAAAAAAAUUCAGAAGUGGUUGACAGUCUCCAACCCCAAUCCAAAUGGUCAUCAACAUAUCUGACUCUUACUUGACUCUCAUCUUCCUCCUCUUGUCUAGCCACUACUUUUUCAUCUGCCAAAUUUAUCAUGAAUUUGGUAUAUCUGUGGGCUGUUGGUUUCUUUCCAGCAGCUCUGCUUCAAUUAUUCAAUUAUUUCUUCAAAAUGCUGAUCAUUGCAUGUGGCUGGAAGUAUUUCCAGGAGAGUAUUUCCUCCCAACAGCAGUGUAA
rnacentral:lncRNA from 1 species